UGUGGCUGUAUAAACGGAUGUUGCGGAAUCUGCAAUUAUGGACGGUGCAGCUACUGUUGUCCCAGACAACAAUCCGAGGAGGCCGUGGAAACCGAAGCUAUUGAUGCCAACGUUGUUGAACCUCAGCAAGGGGGCCGUUGUGGCUGUAGAUACAGAUGUUGCGGAAUCUGCCGUUAUGGACGGUGCAGCUACUGUUGCCCACGUGCUCAAGCGGAGGCUGAAGUUAUUGAGCCCCAACAACGUAGCAGAUGUAGGUACGGUUGCUGCGGAAGCUACGCUUAUGGGCAGUGCAGUGCUUGUUGUUCCAAGAAGAUGGCUACUGAAGAAGCGGAGAAAAAGGAAGAAGCUAAGCCAUGAAUGGUGUGUAACACAAACUCUAUGUUUGUACUUUGUAUGCAUGGACGCAUGGUAUAUAUUACUGUUUCGUACGUAUGUCAAAAUAAGAGAAAAAUGAUGCUAUGAGAAGGUCUAUAGCUCAAUAAAAAAAGUCAUAGGAUCAUAUAAUAUGUAUUUUGUUAUGUAGUGUUUUCCUCGUGAAGAUUGUAAUAAUAACUACUGUUUAAAUAUUAAAUCGUUGAUUGCAACAUUUAAAUUGUAAUCGUGAAAAAGCAUGUAUAGCUAGGUCAAUAAAACCACACAGGUUUAAUAUGGCAUCACGUAGACUUAUAAUUUUGCGAAAAGAGAAAUAUUCAUUUAUUCAUAGUAAAUUAAUAAUAAUUUUUAUUAGACAUAAAAUAUUCUACGUAAUUAGUUGGAACGGAUCUCAAGCAAUAUAUAAAGAUAGAUGAACUAAUACAUUUAUUACCAACUGGUUUUAUGUUGGAACCCCAUAUAUUUUAACAUGAUAUCAAAUUCCGAUCCACGCAGUCCAGUCCGAUCCAUGCAGUCUAACCCGAUCCACAUCGAUCUAGCCCAAAAAAUGGUCCAUCGAUUGACACUCAAAGAACCAUCAUCUCGAAAGGACGUAUUAGGCACAAACUCUCUCAAAUCAGUAGUUAAAAAGGAUCUUAAACAAUAUAUAAAUUUAGAUGAACCAAUCCAAUUAUCGAUUGGUUUUAGGUAAUAAUUUUAUCAAAAGAGAAAGGGUUUGAUUUAUGAUUUUGUGAUUAUUUUUGGAGUGUAUAGAUGGACGUUAUCCUUUCGAAUAGUGGGCUGUCUAAGUCUAAGAGUUAGUCUUUGUGACAAUUAUUUUGACGUGUAAACACCAGGGGUCAUGUACAGAGCAUGUCAUUUACACAUGGAACGACAUAGAGGAGUUUCAACAUUCAACUACUGCCAUGGGUUUUUUGGCCAGAAGCAAGAGCGGGUGUUUGAUAUAUACGUAGUUUUGUCAAGUACUGCUAAUUCGGUUCUUGUCGGAUAAUUUUUACUCAGCUCUUUUGUAAGCGACUGGGACAUGCCUCUAAUGUUUUUCUUUUAAAAUUCACAUGUCUAAUUUUUUUUUCACAUGUCUAAUUAAUAUUUUCUCUUUCAAAUUACAUCUCUAAUAUUAUCAUAAAUGAAUUUAUAAUACAGUGACUACAUCUGCCGAUACCAUGUAUUAAUCGAAGGGAAUCAACCAGACGAAUGUGCUCAUUGCUAUAUUUAUUCUUACAUUUUCUAUGAAGUGUAAAAAUCGUUUUCCCCAUUAAAUAUGUCGUUAUCUUCCCUCACUCACUCGACAUAAUUGACCUGUCUCUUGUCGCCAUGUUUUGCCGCCGAACUAUAAAUAGAUGUGUUGUGGUCAUACACUCUUCACUACCAAAAACAUCUAUCCUCACAACAAACUGAACAAGCUCAAGUAACGAAAUCAAAGCAUGGGAAGGCUCAAGUCUCUGGUUAUCUUGGCUUUGCUUUUUUCCCUCUCUUUCGUUGUUUUUGCCGACUCAUCCAAGGAUGCUUCUACACAUGGUAUACAACUCUAUAUUUAUCAUUUCCCUUUUUUACUUUCACAUAACUGAUGAUCGAAUGUUUUAAACAUAGCCUGACGUAAAUAAAAUAUAAAUCACACGUGCAGCUAAGGAUGAAGUGAAGCCAAGUGAAGCGACCGAUGCCCAGGCUGCGGAGGCCGUGGCCAAGGAUGUUGUUGCAGAGCCCCAGCAAGGACGAUGGCCUGGUGGUUGUCGGUACGGAUGUUGCGGUGGCUGUUUUUUUGGACGGUGCAACUACUGUUGUCGUAGUCCACAAGCCGAGGAGACCGUGGAAACUGAAGCUGUUGAGGCCAACGUUGUUGAACCUCAGCAGGGGGGUCGUGGUGGCUGUAGAUACGGAUGUUGCGGAUCCUGGCGUUACGGACGGUGCAGCUACUGUUGUCGCAAUCCACAAACCGAGACCGUGGAAACCGAAGCUGUUGAUGCCAACGUUGUUGAACCUCAGCAGGGGGGUCGUGGUGGCUGUAGAUACGGAUGUUGCGGAUCCUGGCGUUAUGGACGGUGCACCUACUGUUGUCGCAGUCCACAAGUCGCAGUCCACAAGCCGAGGAAACCGUGGAAACCGAAGCUGUUGAUGCCAACGUUGUCGAACCUCAGCAGGGGGGUCGUGGUGGCUGUAGAUACGGAUGUUGCGGAUCCUGGCGUUAUGGACGGUGCAGCUACUGUUGUCGCAAUCCACAAACCGAGACCGUGGAAACCGAAGCUGUUGAUGCCAACGUUGUUGAACCUCAGCAGGGGGGUCGUGGUGGCUGUAGAUACGGAUGUUGCGGAUCCUGGCGUUAUGGACGGUGCAGCUACUGUUGUCGCAAUCCACAAACCGAGACCGUGGAAACCGAAGCUGUUGAUGCCAACGUUGUUGAACCUCAGCAGGGGGGUCGUGGUGGCUGUAGAUACGGAUGUUGCGGAUCCUGGCGUUAUGGACGGUGCAGCUACUGUUGCCGAGGUGCUCAAGCGGAGUCUGAAGGGCAGAAAAAGGAAGAAGCUAAGCCAUGAAUGGUGUGUAAAACAAACU
rnacentral:lncRNA from 1 species